CUAUUUGGUGUGUCGAAAUGUCUGAAGGCAUCAAACUGGACCCUUUUGAGGCUAUGGUGGAGAGGACUCUGAACAAACUGUUAUCCAUCAUGGAUAACCCCACCCACCCUCUCCACCUGCAGCUGGAAGGACAGGGAGCUCCUUCUCCAACAGACUGCUCCAGCUCUGCUGUCACAAGGACAGAUUCAGGAGAACCUUCCGGCCCUCUGCAGUAACUCUGUACUAUAACUCCCCUCUGGCUGCAGACAACUCACUGCUCCAUAGCCUCUCUGUGAACUGGACUUAACAUGCACACUUACACUUAACAUUGUACACUUAUAUUAUAUUUCAUUUAAUAUUCCAUUUCAUAGCAAUAUUCACUAUCUGUAUAUUUCUUAUUUUUAUUUCAAAUGUUUUGCUAUGUUUCAUACUAUAUUGUAUUUGCGGUAAAAAAAAAAGUUUCCCAAUUUGGGAUAAAUAAAGUUCCUUCUCCACUCUGUAGUGUUUACACACAUUACACACAGGGAGGAUACAUACACAGAUGAUAUACAGUACAUGCACAAAUACAACCACACGCAUGCAGGAGAGGUGGCAGGGAAGGGAGGCUGCCAGGUGCCCGGCGCCAGCGAGCAGUUUCAAGUUUUGGAGCCUUGCUCAAAGGCACCUUGGGAGUGGCUCAGGAGGAGAAUUGGCACCUCUCCAGCUACCAGCUCACUCCAUUUUUGAUUUGGUCUAAUCGGGACGUGAGCCCUUACAGACUAAGCCACUGCCACACUCAAAGCUUACUGUAAAUUAUUGUGAGGACUGGACACAUUAUCACAGAGCAGAGCCAAAGCCCAUAGUUCUAUUUUAGGAUUGUGUACAUAUAUAUAUAGACGGUAUAUAUUUGUACAUGUCUUGUUUUUAUUUGUUCAGUGUAAGACAUAAAAAAUACAUAAAUAUAUAAUAAAUGACAGCUUCAUUUUUGAACUGGUGAUGUGAGAAAUGAAUAAAAUAUAAGAGAUGUGUGUUCAAUCAAGAUGUAGUAUUUAUGUUCACACAAUAUGCUUUAACAGGAUGUCAGGUCCUGCGUACUGUAUAUCUGAACAAUCUGAUCACAUUUGAAAUGUCUUGUUUUGUCUUUCCUUUUUCUUCCACAGAAAAUCUGAAGAAACCUUUAAGGAACUGAAGAGCUUUUUAUUGAUAUUCAGGUAAGACACUAUUUGGAGAAUAUUAAGGAACUAAAAUGUGUUUUCUCACAGCCCCAGAGAGUAUUGGAAAAAAAGGGAUGCGUUGGUCUGGUGCGUCAUCGAAUACCUUGGGGAACACCAAGAAGACUUUUUUCAAGACAGCCAGGAAGAGCAUGACAACCUCAUGGACCAAACAUUGAAGGCGCUUGUGAUCCAUGAUGCCAGGACAAGGAGGAGCCAGCAGAUCUGUCCAUUGUGACAAAGGGACACAACGUGUUGAAUGCAUGCGGAAAUGGAGCGAAGAUAUUUGCACUGUUGAUCAUUUGUUUUGCAUGUUCAUCUACGUCCUCAACCUUGAAUACCCCAAGAAGCUGAAAUACACGUUUAAGGCAUUCCAGAAACUUUGUUUAGAGCUUGAUGGAGCAAAGCUACUCAAAAAAGUCUAGAGCCUCAAAUGUGAGUACAUGGAAUGCAGACUGUUCACUUGUUUUAGCGCUGACUUACACACAUUAAAUGAUCACCUUUUUAUAAA